rnacentral:lncRNA from 1 species
AAGUUAGUCAGUGUCGCUUUUGAUCUGCUUCUUGACGUUGAAGCUUAUGCUCUGUUCUCUUCUCUGCAUCUGUCUUCACCUGUCUUACUUGGAUUUAUUUCAUUUAAAAGAGGAGUACUUGGCAUGAAACAAUAAGGGGUCAGAAAAUGACAUCCCUCUGUUCAUGCUGCACGACAGUGAGGAUAUCUUGGCUAUCGCCUGAGGUGAUGACUUGUGGAAAUAAUGUACUGGUAUUAUUCUUUGUCUAAGAUGGCAUUAAGAUACAGUAUUUCACAGUUGAAGACAGUUACACGUGAACACAUUUUGAGACAAAACGGCCAGGAUUCCAUUGUAAAGUGGUGGACGAAGCUGUCAUCAAGACAGUUCCAUCAUUCUCAGUAUAUAUGAUGAAUGUGUAUAUAUGCGUGAUCAAAUAUCUCUCCCUUUAUGUUUUUGCGCUCCAUGAUAUUUAUUUGAUGCAUGAGUAGAAUACGUUUUGUAUUGGCUAAGCAGGUAACUGUGAUUACCUGAGCAUAUGAUUCAAAUGGCUUUGAAUUGAUACUCAGCAUAGCAUAUACUGAAGCUGGAGUACAUGCCGACACUCAGAUAUGUAUGGACAGUGCUUAAGACCACACGUCUUAUGCAUGCAUCUGGAAAACUAACUAGUUUGUAACAGUGAAAACUAUUAAAUCAAAUGACUUGUGCAGUAGCAGCAAAACUGUUGAUUGUACUAAUGUGUAGCUUAGCUAACCUUUUGGGAAAUGUUAAUAAUUAAUUGUACUGACUCAAAAAGAUACAGUUUUGACAUUGAUAGUAAAAUAUAUAAAAUAUCCACCUUAUUUUCUGGGUCAAGAAGCCAAAGCUACACAUUCCAGGUGGUCUGUGGGUAUUUCAGUACCCAAUUCCCCCUUUUUGUGAAUGUGUGUGUACAGUAUAUAGGCCUAUGUCUAUACUGUGUUAUGUGAAGAUGUGUGUGUGUGUGUGUGUGUGUAUUGUAUGUUCUCCUGGCUGUCUUCCUCUGAACCUCCCUCCUCCCCCUCACUGCCCCAGCCUCACUACGUGUCCCGGGAGGCGAUAGCGACGAUGAGACCAAAACACCCUCCGCCUCGCCCCAUCACGGCCGCUCCCGCCCCAGCUCCAUUCUCGCAGACUCCUCCUCUGAGUCUGACGACCCUGAUGCCAGGGGAGAGAUGUUUGACAUCUAUGUGGCUACGGCUGACUACAACCCCACCAUCCCCAACAAAGAGACCAUUUCCCUGAAGGAGGGCCAGUAUGUUGAGGUUCUGGACUCGGCACAUCCACUCAAAUGGCUGGUCCGGACCAAACCAACCAAAACAACCCCAUCCCGCCAGGGCUGGGUCUCACCUGCCUACCUGGACAAGAAACUCAAGGUUUGUUUCAAGAUCUAAGUAAUUGAUUUAGUACCAAUAUUGUACAUCUACCUCUCCCCGUUUCCUGUUAAUUCUAAUCUACUCUCUCAACACUUUUUUUUGUUAAAUGUUAUUAUGUUCUUAAUGUUAUUUAAACUAUUGUGGGCUAGCUGUCUGCUGAUGCUGGUGAUGUCCCAGAGACAGGUGGAGAAGAGGUCUCAGAAGGAGAGUACAAAAGAAGGCUACUGUGAGUCCAGACCUUCUCACACAAUCUUCUAUUAGUACCAAGACUUAACCUGAGACUCGACUUUUCAUAACUAAGACACUCAGUAAAUUAACUCAAUGAGAUAAUUCAUGUCAAAUAAAUGUUUGUUACGUUCACAGAUCAUGAGGAUUCGGUCCUGUGUUGUGCACAAGCAAGAAACACCACCACACUCAAGGGCAAACCAUAAUAUAUCCAUAAUGCUCUGUCUUCCCCAGCCAACUGAUCCAGGACAUGAUCAACAGCGAGGCAGAGUUUGUCAAAGAGAUGGACUUCUUCACCUCCCACCACGUCAAGCAUGUGGAGAGCCCUGACGCCCCAUCUGACGUCACCAGCCAGAAGGAGGCCAUAUUCAGGAACAUCAACGAGAUCAAGGCCUUCCAUAGCGAGUAAGUACAGCUGGCCUGUUUUUAAACAGCAACUUUUUAUGGAUUAAUGAAGCCUUCAUAAACCCUUUAUAAUGCCUGUAUAGAAAUCACCUAGCUGGUUAUAUUGUAUUGAUAUUUUACCAUUAUAUACUACCAUUAUGCUGCUAAAUGAAUUGACCCCAUAAUGUGUGUUGUGCAGGUUCAUGUUCCCUAAGUUGCGCGAGUGCGACACUGAUGACGACGUGGCCAUGCGGUUCCUGAGGAGCGGGGAGGGCUUUGAGAAAUACCUUCAGUACCUUGUAGGCCAGCAAAAGGCAGAGGCCGCUAUCAGUGACAAGACCGUACACCACUUCUUCAAGGCAAGUGAACCCUUCUCAAGUACUGUUAACACAAAUGGUCAUAAAUGUGUUUGUGUUGUCAUCUUUGUUAAUAUAAUGGAUUGCUGAUGUAAGGCUAGUAAUGGCCACAUUUCUAAACCUUGCUGUCUAUGUCUUUGACACAGAAGUAUACAGACAAACAGCAGGCCAGUGCCGACCCUGCUGAAGGGCCUGUAUUGAGCAUUAAUGCCUACCUACAGAAACCUCUGGACAGAAUCCAGAAGUACAAGGCCUCACUCAAGGUGAGUGAUCACCCUUUAAUGCUGUAAAUAGGGGAUUAGAUAUUUCUUUAUUGUCUGAUUUUCACAGAUAUUUACUUUACGUACAAGAAGAUGCAUUGUGAUAUGGUAAGAGACAUGGCAUAGGCCAGACAUAACAUCAAACAUACACAUUCAUGAAAAAAAUUAAACAAGAAUAACAGCUUAAGGAUUAGCCCCUUUUUUAAAAAAUGUCACCUAAAAUGAUAUACCCAAAUCUAACUGCCUGUAGUUCAGGCCCUGAAGCAAGGAUAUGCAUAUUAUUGAUACCAUUUGAAAGAAUCAUUUUGAAGUUUAUGGAAAUGUGAAAGGAAUGUAGUAGAAUAUAACACAAUAGAUCUGGUAAAAGAUAAUACAAAGGAAAAACCAACCGUUCUUUUGUAUUUUUUUCAUCUUUGAAAUGCAAGUGAAAGGUCAUAAUGUAUUAUUCCAGCCCAAGUGCAAUUUAGAUUUUGGCUACUAGAUUUCAUCAAUGUAUGUGCAAAGUUUUAGACUGAUCCAAUGAACCAUUGCAUUUCUGUUCAAAAUGUUGUAUCAAGACUGCCCAAAUGUGCCUAAUUUCUUUAUUAAUAACUUUUCAUGUUCAAAACUGUGCACUCUCCUCAAAC